rnacentral:tRNA from 1 species
GCCGGUCGUCCUGCAGGAACAGGUGGGCGCUCAGGUCGCGCUGCAGCCGCUGCACGACGGCGACCGCCUGUUCGACGUCGGUGUCCGGCA